rnacentral:rRNA from 1 species
AACGAACGCUGGCGGCAUGCCUAACACAUGCAAGUCGAACGAGACCUUCGGGUCUAGUGGCGCACGGGUGCGUAACGCGUGGGAACCUGCCCUUAGGUUCGGAAUAACUCCCCGAAAGGGGUGCUAAUACCGGAUAAUGUCUUCGGACCAAAGAUUUAUCGCCUUUGGAUGGGCCCGCGUUGGAUUAGCUGGUUGGUAGGGUAAAAGCCUACCAAGGCGACGAUCGAUAGCUGGUCUGAGAGGAUGAGCAGCCACACUGGGACUGAGACACGGCCCAGACUACUACGGGAGGCAGCAGUGGGGGAUAUUGGACAAUGGGCGAAGGCCUGAUCCAGCAAUGCCGCGUGAGUGAUGAAGGCCUUAGGGUUGUAAAGCUCUUUUACCCGGGAUGAUAAUGACAGUACCGAGAGAAUAAGCUCCGGCUAACUCCGUG